rnacentral:misc_RNA from 1 species
AAGUCGUAACAAGGUUUCCGUAGGUGAACCUGCGGAAGGAUCAUUGACAAAUCUAAACAAACACGCACCUGUGAAUUAGCUGGUAGUCACCCCCCCCAAGGGGUGACUAUUAGUUAGUGGGUGAGAGGGUAGGGUAACCAACCGACCUCCUCUCCCACACACAUUUACGCUAUUGUCUUACACACAACAAACACACACAACUUUUAGCAAUGGAUCUCUUGGCUUCUG